UUCCACAAAAAUAAAAUAGGAGGAUCUUUAAUUCUCUAUCAAUAUGCAAAGUUGCUAUUCUUUUCCAUCUAGAAAGAAGAAUAUUCCAUUUAUUUGUGCUUGAAAAGACAUACACAGAUAAAAUUCCAUCAAAAUACACAAAUCUGAGAUAAAAUAAAAUUCCAUACAAACCCUGUCACAUUCUCCUUAUAUGUCUUGUACUUGUGGCUAAAAUAAUAUGGGACAAAAAAAAAAAAAGUUAAGAGAAAACCUAUCUCUCAUGCCUGCCCGGGUGCAUCUGAUAUAGCCACAAUCAUGACAGAGUAACAUGGCAUUUUCCAUGUUUAGCUAUGACAUUGGCCACGUUCGUCCACCAGGAGGCCAACAAUUGGGGAAUAGCGAAUAAGAGAUUCAAGUUUUGUGGUUGUCAUGAGAAAGGAGUUUCGAUCUCGUAGGGAAUUAUGCAUCAUCCACUUGAGUGAAAUAUUGUUUGAGUGCGAAUUUCUUUAACUCAUUUUUUUUUUAAAUUUUGGAAAGUCGGAUUCGAACUCUACUCUUUGAAUCGAGAAUCAUGCAACAACCAUUUGAGUGAAAUGCUCGAAUGCGAAUUUCUUUAACUUGAUAAAUCAUUGGAAUGAUACAAAAUUCUCUCUCUUUUCUCAUCCAUGUGUAGUAUACAAGCCACCAACAUGAAAAAGAAAAAUGAAAGACAAUGACAUUUCUAAUUUAAUUCAUGCAUGUUUCCCUCUUGGUUUUACGCAUAAUGGAAAAGGUUUAGCUAUUUCUCUAACUUUUUGGUCACCCCAAUUCUCAUGAGGGCCAAAUAAGCAAUCAGCCGGUAUACUACAAGCAUUAUGGCCAAGGCAACAGCAGAUAGGACUUGCCCAUCAAGGCCAACAGUUUUUAUAGAUGGAAAAUCUCCAACCAAGCAAACCUUUCCAGGAUCAUUACCACAAGGGUAAGUUUCAUUUGGCUUGUAUUGAGACCCCAAGAAGAGUUUGUAUGUGUAAUGGCUAACGGAAAUGUAUUUGAUCCAUGAAAUGAAAGCAGGAACAUGUUGAAUAUAGAACCCGCCGGCGAGUAAGAAAGUAAGCAUGAUCACUGAUCCAAGAACGGUUGCUGAUUUUUGGUCCAUGACCAUGGCACCAAGGGCUAGCCCUAGGCCUUGAGAGAC
rnacentral:lncRNA from 1 species